AAUCAUCCGCGAGAAUUUUCAAUUACGAUCGAUUGGGAAUAUACCUUACUUCAACUAAAAAAAAAGUAGGUAGGUACUUACGUUCAAGACCUCGUUUUCUCACAGUGUAGUACACCUAAAGCUAUGUUAUCUUGCUUGUGAGUUGUCAAGAGUACACCAGAUUAUAAUUUAUUUACCUAAGAUCUAUAGAGAUGAACUUACUGUGUAUCAUCUGUAAAAAUUUCCGACGAAAAAGGCACCUAAAGAGAUAAAAACCAUUCAAUAACGAAUUAUUUAAUUCAACAUGCGAAGAAACUCGGGGAGAUGAUCAACUAAAGUAGUACCUACCUUUUUGAAGAACUACUGUAAAUGAAAACGAUUAUCAGCAGAGGUUUUCCUUGCCUAGUUAAAGAGAUCUACAGUUAUAUUUGCUGAAGGGCGUAAAAGUUCGAUGACAUACACUACAUGUCUUCCCGAAAAUGUAAGAUGACCCGAAUGUCUUUCUACUUUUUUCCUCCAGCCUGUUCACCGAAAUGAUGCGCAACAAUUGUACAAAUUUUCGAGCAUGGUUUUCUACUGAAGAACACAGAAAAUGCAAGACUAUAGGAAGACAACUUUUUCAAGAACUACCUAAAGGCUUAUACCUUGUAACAAUCAGAAUUGGGAAAAGAAAUGGAUCGGUAUUUAUAUGUAAUGCAGACUACAAUAUUAGUAGUGAAACGGUAUACGAAAAAAAUGAAGCCAGCUGGUGGUUUUUCAUAUCUCGUGGAGGACAUUGGUCUUACGAAUACAGAAUAGAAAACGACACCUAAAGCAAAUCUUUGAGCAAUACAGAUGAACUGCCGGAGAGAAGGAACUCAAAAGUAAAACAGAAAACGAAAGUACAAGGAAAUUGAAAAAAAAAAAAAAUCAUAAUUAACUAUAGAAAAGGUACAGAAGACCCAAGUACACUUCCAGUAUUUAAAUAAUUGCGAGGUGAUAAAUUGCGUUUAAUAUUUAAUGUCAUUCUCUGAGUUCUUUUUUAUGCAUGAAUUUAAUCGGGUGGUCCUUGGAAGCGACGAACGUUUUUUGUGAAAAAAAUAAUCUAUAGUUUUUUCCAAUGUGUUAGGUACCUACACUGUAGAUACGUCCAUAGGAGAACAGUGAUUUCUCUUAUUAACGAUAUCGUGGAGGGAAAAAUAUGAGCAUUCUUUCGUUGAUAUUACAAAUAAUGAUAAGUGAACUGUGAAUCUGAUAAUAAAAUUUUGAUAAGAAA